CAGCCGCCACGGUAAUACGGAGGGUGCAAGCGUUAAUCGGAAUUACUGGGCGUAAAGCGCACGCAGGCGGUCUGUCAAGUCAGAUGUGAAAUCCCCGGGCUUAACCUGGGAACUGCAUUUGAAACUGGCAGGCUAGAGUCUUGUAGAGGGGGGUAGAAUUCCAGGUGUAGCGGUGAAAUGCGUAGAGAUCUGGAGGAAUACCGGUGGCGAAGGCGGCCCCCUGGACAAAGACUGACGCUCAGGUGCGAAAGCGUGGGGAGCAAACAGGAUUAGAUACCCGUGUAGUCCCUGUCUCUUAUAA
rnacentral:rRNA from 1 species